rnacentral:rRNA from 1 species
CAGCAGCCGCGGGAAUACGAAGGGUGCAAGCGUUAAUCGGAAUUACUGGGCGUAAAGGGUGCGUAGGCGGUUGUUUAAGUCAGAGGUGAAAUCCCAAGGCUCAACCUUGGAACUGCCUUUGAUACUGGGGAUCUUGAGUCCGGGAGAGGUGAGUGGAACUGCGAGUGUAGAGGUGAAAUUCGUAGAUAUUCGCAAGAACACCAGUGGCGAAGGCGGCUCACUGGCCCAUAACUGACGCUGAGGCACGAAAGCGUGGGGAGCAAACAGGAUUAGAUACCCCGGUAGUCCCUGUCUCUUAUAC